CAAGGUUUCCGUAGGUGAACCUGCGGAGGGAUCAUUACACAAAUAUGAAGGCGGGCUGGAACCUCUCGGGGUUACAGCCUUGCUGAAUUAUUCACCCUUGUCUUUUGCGUACUUCUUGUUUCCUUGGUGGGUUCGCCCACCACUAGGACAAACAUAAACCUUUUGUAAUUGCAAUCAGCGUCAGUAACAAAUUAAUAAUUACAACUUUCAACAACGGAUCUCUUGGUUCUGGCAUCGAUGAAGAACGCAGCGAAAUGCGAUAAGUAGUGUGAAUUGCAGAAUUCAGUGAAUCAUCGAAUCUUUGAACGCACAUUGCGCCCUUUGGUAUUCCAAAGGGCAUGCCUGUUCGAGCGUCAUUUGUACCCUCAAGCUUUGCUUGGUGUUGGGCGUCUUGUCUCUAGCUUUGCUGGAGACUCGCCUUAAAGUAAUUGGCAGCCGGCCUACUGGUUUCGGAGCGCAGCACAAGUCGCACUCUCUAUCAGCAAAGGUCUAGCAUCCAUUAAGCCUUUUUUUCAACUUUUGACCUCGGAUCAGGUAGGGAUACCCGCUGAACUUAAGCAUAUCAAUAAGCGA
rnacentral:rRNA from 1 species